AGCUGACCUCUUUGGUCUCCAACCCUGAAUAGAGGGACAAGGACAGGAACAAAAACUGUCUUUGGGGAUAUGGCAGUGAGGUCUGACCAAAGAGCAGAGAUGUGUGGAGACCAUACCAUGAACACAACUCUGGACCCGGGCUUCGACUCAAUAAGAUGUUUCCCUGAGACAUGCUGCUUAUGAAACUACAGCCCUCAUCUCAGAACACUAACCAGAUGCUGAGCCUCCACUCCUCCCUGGUGCUCUAGAGGGAUGAGACAGAGAUCAGCGUUGGAGUCUGUGGUGUCCCUUGCUGGAUAAGCCAUUCUAAAGCUGUUUAGUCAGCGCUGCUGAGAAAGGUGGCUUAGUCUAUUUUGUGUUGCUAAACCAAAAUAAUAGGGGCUGAGUAAGUCAUUAAAAAAAAAAAAAGAGGUGGAUACCUCUGAUCAGCUACUGGUAGGAUAGUAGAAGGAAGCAGAAGAGGGCAUGGGGUAAGAGUGGACUCAGAGAGUAAGUGGAGGACGCCAGCUGUGACUACUCCAGUACUGAGUCCCAAUCCAGGCUUGGAAGAACUAACCCAGUCAAGUGGAAACUUCUGGUUUGUUUGGAAAGUCAGUUAUGUCAAACGAUCUUUUGCUGGAGCACACACGGGAAAGAAUGUUUUCCUGAAGCAGACGCAGGUGAAAGGAUGUUUGGAUACAGCAAACACGUGAACUGACGCGUGAUGAAGGAGUAUAAAUAUGACCCCACAGACAGUGGGAGACGAGUACUGCGCAUUGGUUAGCUCUGCCUCGCUAUUCUUUCCCAACGACAUUCAUGCAUUGUUUCACCUUACAUAGUGUUGUCAAGUUCAACUUGUGGUAACACCACAAUUUAGGGAAACUGGCCAAAGAGCUGCUUGUGAAGUUCCUGUGGCAGCGUAUGGCCUCUUCCUUGAGGUUUCUUCAGGACUGGACUGUAGCUGCUGGUUUGUGUGUGGUGUCUGCCUGUCUAGAGGACUGGUCUGCAGCUGCUGAAUCAUAUUUGGUGUUUGCUAUGGGACAGAACUGCUGGCAAAGACAAUUGAGCUCACCUCCAAAGAACUAUUGCUGAACAGGUCCACUUCCCCCAUAUUUUAAUAACUUUUCUCUUCCAAUACCGCUGCUGGGUGGUGGGGACCCUUAUUAAAAGUAGGUUGCCAAAAAUGUAUUUCUACAACCCAGUCUCCCAAGGAGAACAUUAACUCAUUCAUGAGAUAGGAUCUCCAUGACCCCCGCAGCUUCUCCAGGGCCCCUCCUCCUCAGUGUAACUCUGGGAAGCUGUCUUAACGUGGAUUAGGUUUGAUGAACACAAUCACAUCCCAGCAAAAGGCAACAGGUUGAUGACAGCAGCGAGGGGUGACACUGGCAAAAGUAGCUCAUUUUCAGAUGUGCAUAUCUCUUAUUCUACACAUGACAUUUAAUCCUUGUAGACUAUUGGAGUGACACAGUAUUUCAUCACAGCAAUCAGGUCUCCCUUCCUUCCCCCUCUGUCCCUUAUACCACAGUCUCUUUCCUAGAAUGAACUAUUUCAAUGUGCUGCAUAUUUAGCGUCCCCUCUGCCUUUCUAACAACCAAGAAAAAUGAGAUGAAGGCAGUGCGGAAGGGAUCAUUUUCCCCCUACAUUUUCAUUGAAGAUCUAAAAAGAAAGAAGUUGGUUAGGACUGGGGAGAGUGGAGUUGAUAUUUGAUAAUAUACAGUUAGAAGUUGGAAAGCUCACCAAAUAUUUUAAAGGAAAAUUUUAGUAGAGAUAACUGCAGAGUAGUGAGAGCGGUGAGAGGCAGCAGAGAGAACAGAUAGCAAGAAGAGACUUGGGGGAUUUCCUCAUACCCAGCCCAAGGCUGGAAUGUAGACAGUGGACUCGCCACACGACACUAAGCCCUGGUUGGUACAGACUUUUUCCCAAGAGCAAAGCAGGCUACUCUGUAUAUGGGAUGGGAAGACAGAGCCUGAAGCCCUGACCUGAACUAUGCACAGACACACAUGCAGCCAGAACACCCAUACUCACUAAAUAAAAUAUCUUUAAUAAUAAAAAUAAAUAAAAAAUCCUUAUAAAAGAAAUGAUAAAAAAAAACCCUGAAGACCUACUUAAAUAGUGGUUUAUGUACAAGGCAGAUCUGUAUUGGUUGUUUGCCAUGGAAGUGUGCUUAUUUAUUUUUAAGUAGUUAUUUUUUUUUGUGUGUGUAUGUAUGUGCUUAAAUGUAUGUCUGCAUACCAACACAUGCAUGCAGGAGCCCACGGAGUUCGGCAGAGCCAUUGGAUCCCCUGGGACUGGAGUUACAGAUGGUUGUGAGGCACCAUAUGGGUGCUGAGAGUUGAACCUGAGUCUUUUGCAAGACUAGUAAGUGUUCUUAACCAUUAAGCCAUCCCUCUAGCUCCAUGUAUGGUUAUUUUACUAGAGAGAAAUAUGUUUAUAUAAAACAUUUACAUUAUGGCCCAUUCAGACAUAUCUUUAUGUUCAUUCCUGUGUAAAGUUUGGCACUUUACUGGCUCAUCAUUCAAUAAACAUCUGUGGCACACAUGCA